rnacentral:rRNA from 1 species
UACGUAGGGUGCGAGCGUUGUCCGGAAUUAUUGGGCGUAAAGGGCUCGUAGGCGGUUUGUCGCGUCGGGAGUGAAAACACACAGCUUAACUGUGUGCUUGCUUCCGAUACGGGCAGACUAGAGGUAUGCAGGGGAGAACGGAAUUCCUGGUGUAGCGGUGGAAUGCGCAGAUAUCAGGAGGAACACCGGUGGCGAAGGCGGUUCUCUGGGCAUGACCUGACGCUGAGGAGCGAAAGCAUGGGGAGCGAACAGG